rnacentral:rRNA from 1 species
GACGAACGCUGGCGGCGUGCUUAACACAUGCAAGUCGAACGGAAAGGCCCUGCUUUUGUGGGGUGCUCGAGUGGCGAACGGGUGAGUAACACGUGAGUAACCUGCCCUUGACUUUGGGAUAACUUCAGGAAACUGGGGCUAAUACCGGAUAGGAGCUCCUGCUGCAUGGUGGGGGUUGGAAAGUUUCGGCGGUUGGGGAUGGACUCGCGGCUUAUCAGCUUGUUGGUGGGGUAGUGGCUUACCAAGGCUUUGACGGGUAGCCGGCCUGAGAGGGUGACCGGCCACAUUGGGACUGAGAUACGGACCAGACGCCUACGGGAGGCAGCAGUGGGGAAUAUUGCACAAUGGGCGGAAGCCUGAUGCAGCAACGCCGCGUGCGGGAUGACGGCCUUCGGGUUGUAAACCGCCUUCGCCUGUGACGAAGCGUGAGUGACGGUAAUGGGUAAAGAAGCACCGGCUAACUACGUG